UUCACAGGCUUUGAGAUCACAACAAACUCUAUUCUCUACACCCUGAAAUGAAACAAGAUAUGGAGGAAGUUGCUAAAUCUAAGUUGUUUGAGUUGUUAGCGACGAAUUGAGUGAUACAAUUACAGAAUAACAAGAAGAAGAAGAGAAGGAAGAGAAGAAAUAAGAAGCAUUGAUUUGGAUACUAUCUUCCAGUUUGUGAUUGAAUCUGCUAUCGUUGUGCUAUUCGAUUCCUGGAUUUCUGUAGGGAAUGAAAUUUCAAUGGUUAGUUAUCAAUCUACGUGGUUGCUGUUGAAUGUAACAAAAAUCCGCAAUAUGUUAAAUUCAUUUUGAUUGUUGGAGAUCAAACACUCGAAAUAGAUCACAGGAAAUCAAUGUCUAUGGAGGUCUUUCUAAGAUGAAGAAUCAUCUACCAAAGCAGCUGAAUCAAAUGAAGAAUUGUGAAAUCUAUGGAGAAAUUGGGGAUCAUUCAAAGAUGAACUUCAAUUGGAAAAUUUUGCUGUAUGGUGAUUCUUGAGUGGAAUUGGAGAUCAGAAUGGAAGAGGAGAGGACGAAUUCCAAUUUGGCUGUAAGGAAUAUUGUUCUAACAUUCGAGUUAUUCUUCUGGAAAAUCUGCAGCCUGUAUGAGUGUAACUUUACACACUCAUUUAUUGGCGAGGUACCCUUACAGUGCAACUUUUUUUAUCAUGUAGACCAAGUUGAUGAGAAACUUCUGCGAGGGAAUGGUGGAGAUUAUUUGUACACGAAGGUCAUUUGGGCUUUCUAUAUGAAUCAAAGGGAAGAGAAUUUAUGUGCUUUCAGCUCUUUAUGAUCCAUGUAAAGGGUAAGAAGCAGUGCAGAAACAUCUGCAAGAAGUUGAGUUGCAUUCCUUGUAUCUCCUUGAUGGGACAAGGUUUCAAACCUGUGGCAGGGGAAGUUGCUGCCAUCUGAAGGCCUUGGUCAUCACAUCCUAAAGAGUGCAAAUCUUUCUUCAACUAGAAAUUGUUGGCUCUUUUCAAAUAUGGUUUUCCAAGUUGCCCCUACUCUAAGAGUUUCUGCACUUACAAAGGGUUUGCGGCUUCUGAACAGUGGAGACUCAUUCAUAGAGGUUACUGAUUCUGGCAAAGGAGUACAAGUGCUUGCAGUUGCAGCUGCAGGAGAGGUUCAUUUCGAGUGAUGCGUAAGGGAUUUGAAAGAGAGGCUUGCAAGGGUUAAUCCGAAUAUCUCAAAAUCCCUGUCUCCUAUAAAGAGACCAUUGAACGGGAUGGACCCAAUUUCCAAUGGUCAAUGUGUUCGGGUGCAGGUUGUAAAGUUUCUGCUGGCAGUUACAAAGUUGCUUGAUCUGGGCUCUUUGAUCUAGGCACAUUGGUCUUAAUAUUUUUCUUGUUCCAGAAGCCAAAGAAGAGAAUGAUGACCAUUCAGCUCAAAUUCGAGGUUCUCCUCUUCAAUCACAAACUGUGGCUUUUUGAAAUAUUUAAAGAAACAAACAGUUCUCUCUUUAUGGAGGCAGAGAGUCUCAGGAGCAGUGCUUUAUCUGGGUUUCAGCUUGCUACUGGAGCUGGAUCUUUAUGUGAUGAACCUAUGUGCACGCGUGGCCCUUUAUAGUUGAAGCUAAUAUUAUUCCAGUGGACAACUAUGGCAUCUUCACCGGACUGAUGAUGACAGCAGUGAAGGAAGCAUGUUGGACAGCUGUGUUUCAGAACAGAAGAAACCUCGGCUUGUGGAAGCCAUGUACUUUUGUGAAUUGAACACCCCAAUUUGGGCUCCGUGUAUGCUGUUCUAUCUAAGAGACGUGCCCGAGUUUAGAAGGAAGAGAUGCAACAAGGGUUUCCUUUGUUCAUGGUGCAACAUAUGUGCCGUUUACUGCAAGUUUAUGGUUUGCACAUGAGCUUCCAGAAAAGAAAUCUGAAGCUUCAAGUGCAUUACUUGAGUUGUUCUAGUAUUGUAGGUAGCUCAUUGAUGCAGUAAGUAGGCGGAAAAGUCUUCCAGUGGAAGAAAAGUAGUUUAACAUGCCACCAAGCGGAGGACGCUAUCUCGUAAAGUAUUAAAAAUGGCUACAGUAAUUGCAGCAUAUUUCUGCUAACAUCUGGAUAUGGAGAUAACCCAAUAUUCUUGAUCCUGUUGCGUUCGAGAGGAAAGAGAAGACCUCUAGCCACUUUAGAUGCCGCUGAAGAUUAUUCUCUCCAUGGUUUCAUUGAGUCUUCCGUGCAGCCUGCUACAGCCCUGGGUUUAUAGAGGAGCAUAUUUCUAGGAUGAGGAAUCAUAUGCAGCAGAAUCUGUUUACAUGUUUUCUUUCUAUUGUAGGAAUUAUCUUUUGUUGGCUUUUGUAUUCGGCAGUAUAUUAGAUUCAGCUUCAGGAAAUUUCAGUCAAAAAAAAAAAAAAAAAGCACCGUUGCGGGGUAU